rnacentral:sRNA from 32 species
GCCGAUGCUUUAGAUAGAUACGAAGCUUUGUGGAAGUGCCGUCAGGCGCCCCGGAGCUUUGGGCGGUAACGGCACAUUGCAAGGUGUUGUUACCGUUUACAUA